UGAAGCAGUUCAAAUCUGAUG
rnacentral:piRNA from 1 species